rnacentral:rRNA from 1 species
UACGGAAGGCAGCAGUGGGGAAUAUUGCACAAUGGGCGCAAGCCUGAUGCAGCCAUGCCGCGUGUAUGAAGAAGGCCUUCGGGUUGUAAAGUACUUUCAGUCGUGAGGAAGGUGUUAAGGUUAAUAACCUUAGCAAUUGACGUUAGCGACAGAAGAAGCACCGGCUAACUCCGUGCCAGCAGCCGCGGUAAUACGGAGGGUGCGAGCGUUAAUCGGAAUUACUGGGCGUAAAGGGCACGCAGGCGGUUAAUUAAGUUGGAUGUGAAAUCCCCGGGCUUAACCUGGGAAUGGCAUUCAAGACUGGUUAGCUAGAGUCUUGUAGAGGGGGUAGAAUUCCAUGUGUAGCGGUGAAAUGCGUAGAGAUGUGGAGGAAUACCGGGUGGCGAAGGCGGCCCCUGGGACAAAGACUGACGCUCGUGUGCGAAAGCGUGGGGAGCAAAC